UACGUAGGGACCAAGCGUUGUUCGGAUUUACUGGGCGUAAAGGGCGCGUAGGCGGCGUGUCAAGUCAAUUGUGAAAUCUCCGAGCUUAACUCGGAACGGUCAAUUGAUACUGAUGUGCUAGAGUGCAGAAGGGGCAAUCGGAAUUCUUGGUGUAGCGGUGAAAUGCGCAGAUAUCAGGAGGAACACCAAUGGCGAAGGCAGCUCGCUGGGACGUGACUGACGCUGAGACGCGAAAGCGUGGGGAGCAAACAGG
rnacentral:rRNA from 1 species